UCUCUUUUGAAUCUUGAUGAGAUUACCUAUGUCCAAAAUAAGCAUCUCAAUGAGUAAAAUUUUUUGAGGGUCUCAAAUAUUGGACCUCUUGGAGAAUCGUUUGUUAAGAGAGAGAAAUGGGAAGGUCAGAUAUGCUCACAUGCCCAAGAUUCUGAUGUCUUGAUGACCUCAGUUGUAAUUGUAAUUAUCAGAUUCUCAGGGAUUCUCUUCUGACCACAGUUUCAAGGUCAAACUGGUAGUGAUGUUUAUAUGUCUUUUGUUGCUAGUGUCAUAUUAGCUCUGAAUAUGUUACAAGUUUACAACAAUAUGGUGCUUCCACUAAAGGUAUUUUCACUUAGAAUAACACCUGUGCUUUAUUUCGUCCAUAUAUAUAGUGAACUAUUGUGGUAAUACUUUCUAUUAAAAUUGUAAAUUAUUGUGUGUAUUGGUCCAUAGGAUUUGGGUGAAUACCAAUUUUUAAGAUCUGGGAUUAUCCCUAUUGAUGA
rnacentral:lncRNA from 1 species